GCGAGCGUAGCUCAACUUGGAGAGAGCACAGGACUGUGGCUCCUGGUGUUGCGGGUUCAAAUCCCGUCGCUCGCC
rnacentral:tRNA from 1 species